AAGUCAUAACAAGGUUUCCGUAGGUGAACCUGCGGAAGGAUCAUUAAAAGAGAUAGGGUCUCACGGCCCGACCUCCAACCCUUUGUUGUUUAAAAAACCAUGUUGCUUUGGCGGGACCGUUCGUCCUCGUGACGGACUGUCGGUCUUCGGCCCGGCAAGCGCCCGUCAGAGUCCAACCAAACUCUUGAUAUAACCAGUCGUCUGAGAAUAAAGAUUUAAUCAAUUAAAA
rnacentral:misc_RNA from 1 species